rnacentral:rRNA from 1 species
GACAUAGGUGGCGAACGUUAUCCGGAAUUAUUGGGCGUAAAGGGCUCGUAGGCGGUUUGUCGCGUCGGGAGUGAAAACUCAGGGCUUAACCCUGAGCCUGCUUCCGAUACGGGCAGACUAGAGGUAUGCAGGGGAGAACGGAAUUCCUGGUGUAGCGGUGAAAUGCGCAGAUAUCAGGAGGAACACCGGUGGCGAAGGCGGUUCUCUGGGCAUUACCUGACGCUGAGGAGCGAAAGUGUGGGGAGCGAACAGG